UAAGGAAUAUUGGUCAAUGGACGCAAGUCUGAACCAGCCAUGCCGCGUGAAGGAUGAAGGUCCUCUGGAUUGUAAACUUCUUUUAUCUGGGACGAAAACGGGAUUUUUAUCUCGAUUGACGGUACCAGAGGAAUAAGCACCGGCUAACUCCGUGCCAGCAGCCGCGGUAAUUCGGAGGGUGCGAGCGUUAUCCGGAUUUACUGGGUUUAAAGGGUGCGUAGGUGGGCUUAUAAGUCAGUGGUGAAAUCUCCGAGCUUAACUUGGAAACUGCCGUUGAUACUAUAGGUCUUGAAUUAUCUGGAGGUAAGCGGAAUAUGUCAUGUAGCGGUGAAAUGCUUAGAUAUGACAUAGAACACCAAUUGCGAAGGCAGCUUACUACAUAUAAAUUGACGCUGAGGCACGAAAGCGUGGGGAUCAAACA
rnacentral:rRNA from 1 species